rnacentral:rRNA from 1 species
AUUGAACGCUGGCGGCAGGCCUAACACAUGCAAGUCGAGCGAGCGGCGGACGGGUGAGUAAUGUCUGGGACACUGCCUGAUGGCGGGGGAUAACUACUGGAAACGGUAGCUAAUACCGCAUACCAUCAGCUGUGCCUCGAUGGCAUUAGCUAGUGGGUGGGGUAACGGAUCACCUAGGCGACGAUCCCUAGCUGGUCUGAGAGGAGGAACAGCCACACUGGAAAUGAGACACGGUCCAGACUCCUACGGGAGGCAGCAGUGGGGAAUAUUACACAAUGGGCGCAAGCCUGAUGCAGCCAUGCCGCGUGUGUGAAGAAGGCCUUCGGGUUGUAAAGCACUUUCAGCGGGGCGGCGUUACCCGCAGAAGAAGCACCGGCUAACUCCGUGCCAGCAGCCGCGGUAAUAC